GUCCACGCCCUAAACGAUGAGUGCUAGGUGUCUGAAUUUCGAUUUGGGCGCUACAGCUAACGCGUUAAGCACUCCGCCUGGGAACUACGGUCGCAAGACUAAAACUUAAACGGAAUUGACGGGGAUCCGCACAAGCGGUGGAGCAUGUGGUUUAAUUCGACUCUAAACGAAGAACCUUACCAGUUUUUGACAUGUUAUCUUAAGUCUGACCAGAGAUGGCAGAUGUGGGCAACCUAGAUAAUACAGGUGAUGCAUGGCUGUCGU
rnacentral:rRNA from 1 species